GCGGCACAGCAGCUUACCUGCUGAUGUUGGCUGUGGUGAUGGAGCCUGCUACCGGAGCCACAGUGGCCCACAGCGGGAGCAUGGCCAGAGUGGUAGAAAGACAGUGGGGCAGGAGUUACUUCCCAGGUUGUGGUGACACAGGAACAUUCACUUUCCACAACUCCUGGAGGGGCAGUCACCUUCACCUAUGGCUCCAAAAUUGGGGCUGUCAUCAGAGCAUCUCGACAGCUGGGCCCAACAGAACAUCUGGCAAUGUCCCCAGGGCAAUGGUGGGCACAAGCAGUCAGGUCCUGGGACCCCUGCACAAUCCCCUGGUUCUCUUCAUGAAGAAAAAGCCACUCUGGUUAUAAUGAGGACUAGACCAAGAAUGAGGCCCAGUGUUACAUGCUCGGUGUGGUGAUCUGAAAUAUCACCACAGGGACAAAUACAAAAAUACAAGUGGGAAACUACACUCAAACCCUUGGAUCAAGCCUCAGUCCUAUGCUUCUGAAGCAAAUUUCUUGUUUUUGGAGUCUGGUUUUCAACCACUGUAGACUCAGAUCAUUUAUUCUUCAG
rnacentral:lncRNA from 1 species